rnacentral:tRNA from 1 species
GCGCUCCUAGCUCAGCUGGAUAGAGCAUCGGAUUUCGAUUCCGAGGGUCGGGAGUUCGAAUCUCUCCGAGCGCG